rnacentral:lncRNA from 1 species
AUAAACUGUGUAUGAAAAAUAGUUAUGGCUCAAAAUCUCACAGGUUUAUUCAACGUCCAAAAGUCAAGGUUAAAAUUACUUUAGAAUUAUGCAAAUUAGUUCCAAUUAUGCUCAAAUCAUCAAAGAAAAUCAAAUUCAAAUUUUUUUCACAGAAAUCAUCAUUGGCAUCUUACCAGAAAUAAUGCUUAAGUUUAAUAAGAAAUAUUAAAGUAUAUUCUAAAUAGUCCCCGACAACGGCGCCAAAAAGUUGAUCGCUAAUUUCUUAACAAUAAAAACUGCAACUAAACAGUGUAAUCGUAGCACAGAAACAACAAGUCGAGUAUUGUAUCCACAGGGACUAUUAUAACGAAUCACUCUAAGUAAUCCUAAGUAAACUCUAGUAAUAUUCAGGCAAACUCAACUAAGAACGAAGAAUAAAACUAAAAUCCAGACAAAACAAAAUAGGAUAAAAACUCACAAAAAAAAAAAACUCUGACCCUAGGGAUGUACUACCGUUAGUCAAACACAUGCAUUCAAUCUAUUAAUUCAAUUACCAAUUUAAUCCAAC